AAAAUAAUCCUACCCUUUGUGAAUUUUGUUUGUUUGAAUAAUUUUUUUUUUAAAAAAUUAUUGGAGUCUUUCCCUUUAGAGUUUGCUUUUGAGUUUGUAAAAGAAUUCGAAAACAUCUAAAGGGGAUGGUCAAUAAUUUUUUUUGAAAAAAGACAUUUUUUAAAAUUAAACUUUUUGUAUUCAUUUGUCUAAAAAUUAUUUUUAUAAUAUAAAAACAACUUUUGACAAUGGAUCUCUUGGUUCUCGCAACGAUGAAGAACGCAGCAAAAUGCGAUAAGUAGUGUGAAUUGCAGAAUACGUGAAUCAUCGAAUCUUUGAACGCAUAUUGCACUUUUUUAGUUUACUAAAAAAGUAUGUCUGUUUGAGUAUCAGUAAAAUAUUCUCAUAAAAUCAUUGUGUAUUUUUAUGGUUAUGAGUGUUUUACAACGAUACAAGUUGUUUCACUUUAAAUUUUUUUUUAAUAUUGAAAUUUUUCUAAUUUUAAUAAUUAAAAUUGGAUAAAAUUUUCCCGUCAAAAGGAAUAACCUAAACAAUUUUAAAUGAUUAAUUUUAGCAAAAUUUUCGUAAAAAAGGAAAAUUUUUAUUAAAAUAACUUGAUCUCAAAUCAGAUAAGAGUACCCGCUGAACUUAAGCAUAUCAAUAAGCGGAGGAAAAGAAACUAACAAGGAUUCCCUUAGUAACGGCGAGUGAAGCGGGAAGAGCUCAAAUUUGAAAUCUUCAAGGUUUUACCUUGACGAAUUGUAGUUUAAAGAAGUGUUUUCUGCUGAAGUUUUGGUAAAAGUUCUUUGGAAUAGGACAUCAUAGAGGGUGAGAAUCCCGUAUUUGACCAUUAUUUUCAGCUUUGUGAUACACUUUCAAAGAGUCGGAUUGUUUGGGAAUGCAGUCCAAAAUGGGUGGUAAAUUUCAUCUAAAGCUAAAUAUUGGCGAGAGACCGAUAGCGAACAAGUACCGUGAGGGAAAGAUGAAAAGAACUUUGAAAAGAGAGUUAAACAGUACGUGAAAUUGUCAAAAGGGAAGCGUUUGACACCAGUGUUGUUUUCUCGAAAAUCAAUUAAAAAUGGCUCGAUUUUGUAUUGCUGAGACCUUAAAAGCUCACUGUACAUUUUUCGUGUCUUUUUUAAUGCACUUUUCGUUUAACAAGUCAACAUCAGUUUCUUUUGUUGUAAAAGGGUCAUUGGAAGGUGGCUUUCUUUUCGGAGAAAGUGUUUAUAGCCUUUGGCCUCUGCAAUCGAGAGACUGAGGUCUGCAGCGUAGACUCUUCGGGGUUAGAUACAUUUGUGCUAAGUUAUAGCUUUUUAUAGACAACUUGUUGACUAUAAUUAGUCUUGUAGCUUACUCGCUUAUGCUAUUU
rnacentral:misc_RNA from 1 species